CGCGUACCCUGUACGUGAUCCUCAGACACGCUCGAGCCGCGGACAGAAAGAGAUGGUUGAUCUAUGGUGGAAAAGCUAACGCGACAGUAGCAGCGUUGUGUGGAGAAAUUCGGAGAUUUGAUAUUGAGAGAUUGAAGGCUGUGAACCCUCGUGAGCUGGAAUUCCCCUUGCUGCGCGUGGUGCUUAGCAUGGUCGGGGGUUUUUUGGAUCGGAUUUGGAAAUCUUGAGAAGAACCAAGGAUCAACUUCCAGCACUUGAUGAGUCUUCUGAUCUGGCCUAUCCUCCUUUCUACUGUAGUACUUUGAUUAAAGACUUCUCCUCUAGAUGUGGCUUUUCUGCUUCAUCUCCAUCAUCCAGCCAUUCGAGUUUCAAGUGCUGUUCAGGUUCCACCAGAAUGAUGAGAUGUUUGUGACACCGGGAGGUUAAAGGUUCAAUACUUUCCGUCUCUUUCUGUGGAUAACAACGACGUCGGCUGUAAAGUGAUUUUAUCUGAUAUGACAGCAGCUGUCUGAGUUUAUCUUCUGUCACUCUGGUCUCCACCAGACUGGAACUCUUCCUGCACAUUUCAGCUUUUUAAACUCUUUAAGAUAGAUUUUCACCACUUGGAUAGAUGAACAGCUGCAAGAUAAAAAGCUAAAGUUAAUGCUUUAGUUAAACACAUUAUGAAGAAGGAUUGAGUUCACAUAAUCUUAUUAAUAAUUCCAUCAAACUAACAUUAUUUUUGAUUUGUGUGUUUCAUGUUGAGAAAAUCCUGAAAAUAAAUUAGAUUGCUAAUAAAAAAAUUACAGGAUAAAAAACAGUUUGAAAGCAUGUUUGUUUAUUCAUUCAUUCAUUUUUUAAUUUUUUUUUUUACAGCACAAAAGAACAUAAUGACUUUAAUGUUAUCAGUAUAAUUGAACCAGGUUCAGGCUCUUUUUUUAUGUGUGUGUAACAUUCCUCUGACUCCUCAAACUGAAACUCUUUUCCUUUUCCUCCUUAUUCUAAUCACAUGUUGAGUUCAAACUUCUCCUCCUCUGACGUUGAGACUGAAUCCAAACAUCACAUUCCAGGAUGUCAUGAAAUAAAUGGAAUAAAGCCUCCGACCUCCAGGAGCUCUGAGAGGCGUUCAGGGUUUGGAGAUGUAAAGUUUCCUGCAGACAGAAAGGAUCUGUGCAGCUCUGACACAAAAAAUAACCUCAACGCUCCGAUCACGAGACGUCCCAUGACAGACGACGUUGAAGAGUCAUACUCAACAUGAGGCAGCAGCAUCAGAUCCAGACUCAACAGAGACUCUGAGUUUAUUAAACGUCUGAACAGCUUCACUGAUAAACGCUGCAGGAAGUCCUUCAGUCGUCCUGCUGUCAUGAGAACGCAGAUUUUCCCACAUUAUCAGAGAACUUCAGGAUCCCGACUGUGGGAAGAAAAAGUCACGUCUAUUUCUGCG